UGGGGAAUAUUGGACAAUGGGCGAAAGCCUGAUCCAGCAAUGCCGCAUGAGUGAAGAAGGCCUUAGGGUUGUAAAGCUCUUUUAAUUGGGAAGAUAAUGACGGUACCAAUAGAAAAAGCUCCGGCUAACUUCGUGCCAGCAGCCGCGGUAAUACGAAGGGAGCUAGCGUUGUUCGGAAUUAUUGGGCGUAAAGAGCGCGUAGGCGGCUUAGUAAGUUGGAAGUGAAAUCCCAGGGCUUAACCCUGGAACUGCUUUCAAAACUGCUAGGCUAGAGAUUGAUAGGGGAUGGCGGAAUUCCUAGUGUAGAGGUGAAAUUCUUAGAUAUUAGGAGGAACACCGGUGGCGAAGGCGGCCAUCUGGGUCAUAUCUGACGCUGAGGUGCGAAAGCGUGGGGAGCAAACAGG
rnacentral:rRNA from 1 species